UACGAAGGGUGCAAGCGUUACUCGGAAUUACUGGGCGUAAAGCGUGCGUAGGUGGUUCGUUAAGUCUGAUGUGAAAGCCCUGGGCUCAACCUGGGAAUGCAUUGGAAACUGGCGACCUAGAGUGCGGUAGAGGGUAGUGGAAUUCCCGGUGUAGCAGUGAAAUGCGUAGAGAUCGGGAGGAACAUCUGUGGCGAAGGCGACUGCCUGGACCAGCACUGACACUGAGGCACGAAAGCGUGGGGAGCAAACAGG
rnacentral:rRNA from 1 species